rnacentral:rRNA from 1 species
GCCCUACGGGGCGCAGCAGGCGCGAAAACUUUACAAUGCGGGAAACCGUGAUAAGGGGACACCGAGUGCCAGCAUCAUAUGCUGGCUGUCCAGAUGUGUAAAAUACAUCUGUUAGCAAGGGCCGGGCAAGACCGGUGCCAGCCGCCGCGGUAACACCGGCGGCCCGAGUGGUGAUCGUGAUUAUUGGGUCUAAAGGGUCCGUAGCCGGUCUGGUCAGUCCUCCGGGAAAUCUGAUGGCUCAACCAUUAGGCUUUCGGGGGAUACUGCCAGGCUUGGAACCGGGAGAGGUAAGAGGUACUACAGGGGUAGGAGUGAAAUCUUGUAAUCCCUGUGAGACCACCUGUGGCGAAGGCGUCUUACCAGAACGGGUUCGACGGUGAGGGACGAAAGCUGGGGGCACGAACCGGAUUAGAUACCCGGGUAGUCCCAGCCGUAAACGAUGCUCGCUAGGUGUCAGGCAUGGCGCGACCGUGUCUGGUGCCGCAGGGAAGCCGUGAAGCGAGCCACCUGGGAAGUACGGCCGCAAGGCUGAAACUUAAAGGAAUUGGCGGGGGAGCACAACAACGGGUGGAGCCUGCGGUUUAAUUGGACUCAACGCCGGACAACUCACCGGGGACGACAGCAAUAUGUAGGCC